AGCAGCCGCGGUAAUUCCAGCUCCAAUAGCGUAUAUUAAAGUUGUUGCAGUUAAAAAGCUCGUAGUUGAAUUUCGAGGUCAAAUUGUCGGUCGUGCCUCGGUACGUACUGGCAUUAUUGAUUUCUCCCUUCUGACGAUCCGCGAUGUCAUUAAUUUGGUGUCGUGGGGAAUCAGGACUGUUACUUUGAAAAAAUUAGAGUGUUUAAAGCAGGCUCACGCUUGAAUACAUUAGCAUGGAAUAAUGAAAUAGGACUUUUGAUUCUAUUUUGUUGGUUUCUAGGAUCAACGUAAUGAUUAAUAGGGAUAGUUGGGGGCAUUAGUAUUCAAUUGUCAGAGGUGAAAUUCUUGGAUUUAUUGAAGACUAACUACUGCGAAAGCAUUUGCCAAGGAUGUUUUCAUUAAUCAAGAACGAAAGUUAGGGGAUCGAAGACGAUCAGAUACCGUCGUAGUCUUAACCAUAAACUAUG
rnacentral:sRNA from 1 species